GGGCGCAUUCCUGGGCCUGUACCUGGCAGUGCAGGAUGGUGUCAACUUUCUGGGCAUGGCCACUGGCAGGCUUGUUGUGUGCAGGGGCCGGCGGCUGCUGUACUCAUGUGUGGAGGGCGGAUGCAGGCCUUCAGGAAGGACUGUGGAGCUAUCCCCCUUCUGUUGCUGUCAAGGUCACUAAGAGCCCUGAAAAGUAUUGGUGGAGGAGGAGAAGGCCUUACCUUCAGCUAGUUCCUGAAAGUACUUAAACUAGCCGCCAAACUUGCCAACUAAAGACCAUUCGAUGCCAAAAGCACAGAGUCUUGAGGACUACAUCACCCUAAGCACACUGCUGCUUGGCUGAGCCACUCUGAAGAUUUCAAAACAGUUCACUACAAGUACAACACCUACCCUUCAAAAGACAGCAAGAAAUACAAGUACAAACGUCAGACACUUCUUCUGGGGGUCCUGGAGCCAAUGGGAAGAAAUCUUGCUGUUUUAGAUUUAAUGUGGCUCUGUGACCAAAAUGCAUUACAAGGACAUUUCAAAGCUCGCAACAGUGGUCAGCGUGAAGGCAGACUCCAAAGGCAUUGACCGGAAAGUCCCCCCAAGUGGAUGUGCUCAAGUGAAGAUUCCAAAGCAAACCAAGAAGUGCUGGGACCCACAAGACACCACACUGCCUCGGGAAGUGCAACGCCUCAUCGUCCUCGUCCAAUUAGAGUUACAAGUCAACAGAAACCAGCUCGCAUGAGGGGUGCAAGCUUCAUAUCUCGCGACACGCCAAGAUCGAGUUGGAGAGGUCGCAGCAGGAAUGCCUGGGUACAUCUUUGACUGACAGCCUCCAUGGUCCCUCGCAGCGCAUCUGUGGUGUCCAGCCUGGUAUCAGCAUAGGCAUGGCCAACACGUGCAGCUGGUCAUCUGCAUCCUCUCCAUGCCGGAUGAGAGGAGCAACAGACGCAUGGGCUCCGCUCCCAUGGCCAUCAGCUUCUGUCACCAUGGCACACCUCAUAUGUUCUACACUAGAGCUGGAAUCAACACUGCCAGACCUUGCCCCUGUUAUGUUUAUGAAGAACGUCAUGAACCACUGAGUAAGAAAGAAAUGUGUACUGAGUGGGUCCCAUGAUCGGUGGUGCUAUGGGUGCCAUCAUGUAUGACUUCAUGCUCUUCCCCUGCAUGCAGCUGGUCCACAGAAGUGAAGCCAGCAGGACAUCGAGCUCAAGACCUAGGCCCUAUAAGCCAACCACUCAGCCAGGGGAAGCAGGGGCCAGCCAGCCUUAUUAUAGUAGCCCCCCCUCCGCUUCCAACAACCCAGCGCUCCUCCUCCAACCCCCCACACCCCCUACCCCGUCACCAACAACCAGCAACCCCAACAUUCAAAGACUAACAUCUGCCCUAUCCAAGUUCACCACCAUCACCAUCAUGGACAUAGCUCAGUACACACACACGCAUGCAUACCAGGCUUGUGGAAAAUUCUGAAUUCACAACAUACCAACAUGUAUCAAGUACUAUACACCCAAUACUACAGUGAAUCAAAAAGACUCAAUACACAGCCAUAAUUGUAUGAAAACGCGACUUUGUGUUUUCAAAAUAAUAGAAUUAGUUUGUAAGCGUGAUGUGUAUGUAUGUGUCUGCAUACUUGGCUAUGUCCAUGAUGGUGGUGGUGGGCUUGAAUAGGGCAGAUGUCAGUCUUUGAUUGUUAGGGUUGCUAGUGACGGGGCGGGGAGGAGGAGACAUUGUCUCUUGCUUGUGCUGCAACGUCUUUCACUGGCAUUGUUGGCCACUCACCCUCAGGAAGCUGAAGGAACUGUGCACUGUACUGACACUGGGAACAUUCGUUAGAUC